rnacentral:rRNA from 1 species
UACAAAGGGGGCUAGCGUUGCUCGGAAUUACUGGGCGUAAAGCGUGCGCAGGCGGUCUGUUAAGACCGAUGUGAAAUCCCCGGGCUUAACCUGGGAACUGCAUUGGUGACUGGCAGGCUUUGAGUGUGGCAGAGGGAGGUAGAAUUCCACGUGUAGCAGUGAAAUGCGUAGAGAUGUGGAGGAAUACCGAUGGCGAAGGCAGCCUCCUGGGCCAACACUGACGCUCAUGCACGAAAGCGUGGGGAGCAAACAGGA